rnacentral:rRNA from 1 species
UACGAAGGGGCUAGCGUUGCUCGGAAUCACUGGGCGUAAAGCGCACGUAGGCGGAUUGUUAAGUCAGGGGUGAAAUCCUGGAGCUCAACUCCAGAACUGCCUUUGAUACUGGCGAUCUCGAGUCCGGGAGAGGUGAGUGGAACUGCGAGUGUAGAGGUGAAAUUCGUAGAUAUUCGCAAGAACACCAGUGGCGAAGGCGGACUCACUGG